CCCUUAGAUGUUCUGGGCCGCACGCGCGCUACACUGAUGCAUUCAACGAGUCUAAAACCUGCUCUGAUAGGGGUGGGUAAUCUUUUGAAUGUGCAUCGUGAUUGGGAUAGAUGAUUGCAAUUUUUCAUCUUCAACGAGGAAUGCCUAGUAAACGCAAGCCAUCAGCUUGCAUUGAUUACGUCCCUGCCCUUUGUACACACCGCCCGUCGCUCCUACCGAUUGAAUGAUCCGAUGAAUAUCAUGGAUUGAGGAUGUAAGCAGGUUCGCCUGUCUUCAUCUUCGAGAAGUGAAGUAAAUCUUAUCAUUUAGAGGAAGGAGAAGUCGUAACA
rnacentral:rRNA from 1 species